GACGGAGGAUGCAAGCGUUAUCCGGAAUGAUUGGGCGUAAAGCGUCCGCAGGUGGCAGUUCAAGUCUGCUGUCAAAGACCGGGGCUUAACUUCGGAAAGGCAGUGGAAACUGAACAGCUAGAGAUGGUAGGGGCAGAGGGAAUUCCUGGUGUAGCGGGUGAAAAUGCGUAGAGAUCAGGAAGAACAUCUGUGGCGAAGGCGACACCCUGGACCAGCACUGACACUGAGGCACGAAAGCGUGGGGAGCAAACAGG
rnacentral:rRNA from 1 species